AACGAACGCUGGCGGCAGGCUUAACACAUGCAAGUCGAGCGCCCCGCAAGGGGAGCGGCAGACGGGUGAGUAACGCGGGGGAAUCUACCCAUCUCUACGGAAUAACGCAUGGAAACGGGUGCUAAUACCGUAUACGUCCUUCGGGAGAAAGAUUUAUCGUGGCUGGAUGAGCCCGCGUUGGAUUAGCUAGUUGGUGUGGUAAAGGCCUACAAAGGCGACGAUCCAUAGCUGGUCUGUGAGGAAGAUCAGCCACACUGGGACUGUGACACGGCGCAGACUCCUACGGGAGGGGCCCGUGGGGAAUGUAGGACAAUGGGCGAAAGCCUGAUCCAGCUAUGCCGCGUGAGUGAUGAAGGCCCUAGGGAUGUAAAGCUCUUUCACCGGUGAAGAGAAUGACGGUAACCGAAGAAGAAGCCCCGGCUAACUUCGUGCCAGCCGCCGCCGUAAAAC
rnacentral:rRNA from 1 species